rnacentral:rRNA from 1 species
GGCGGGUGCUAACGUCCGUCGUGAAAAGGGAAACAACCCAGACCGCCAGCUAAGGUCCCAAAGUUAUGGUUAAGUGGGAAACGAUGUGGGAAGGCUUAGAAAGCUAGGAGGUUGGCUUAGAAGCAGCCACCCUUUAAAGAAAGCGUAAUAGCCCACUAGUCGAGUCGGCCUGCGCGGAAGAUGUAACGGGGCUCAAACCAUACACCGAAGCUACGGGUAUCACUCAGGUGAUGCGGUAGAGGAGCGUUCUGUAAGCCUGUGAAGGUGAGUUGAGAAGCU